GACGAACGCUGGCGGCGUGCUUAACACAUGCAAGUCGAACGGAAAGGCCCUGCUUUUGUGGGGUGCUCGAGUGGCGAACGGGUGAGUAACACGUGAGUAACCUGCCCUUGACUUUGGGAUAACUUCAGGAAACUGGGGCUAAUACCGGAUAGGAGCUCCUGCUGCAUGGUGGGGGUUGGAAAGUUUCGGCGGUUGGGGAUGGACUCGCGGCUUAUCAGCUUGUUGGUGGGGUAGUGGCUUACCAAGGCUUUGACGGGUAGCCGGCCUGAGAGGGUGACCGGCCACAUUGGGACUGAGGUACGGCCCAGACUCCUACGGGAGGCAGCAGUGGGGAAUAUUGCACAAUGGGCGGAAGCCUGAUGCAGCAUCGCCGCGUGCGGGAUGACGGCCUUCGGGUUGUAAACCGCUUUCGCCUGUGACGAAGCGUGAGUGACGGUAAUGGGUAAAGAAGCACCGGCUAACUACGUG
rnacentral:rRNA from 1 species